GCGAAACCUCCGCAAUGCGAGCAAUCGCGACGGGGGGACCCCAAGUGCCACCCUUAACGGGGUGGCUUUUCUGAAGUGUAAAAAGCUUUAGGAAUAAGAGCUGGGCAAGACCGGUGCCAGCCGCCGCGGUAACACCGGCAGCUCAAGUGGUGGCCAUUUUUAUUGGGCCUAAAGCGUUCGUAGCCGGUUUGAUAAGUCUCUGGUGAAAUCCCACAGCUUAACUGUGGGAAUUGCUGGAGAUACUAUCAGGCUUGAGGUCGGGAGAGGUUAGAGGUACUCCCAGGGUAGGGGUGAAAUCCUAUAAUCCUGGGAGGACCACCUGUGGCGAAGGCGUCUAACUGGAACGAACCUGACGGUGAGUAACGAAGGCCAGGGGCGCGAACC
rnacentral:rRNA from 1 species